UACGUAGGGGGCAAGCGUUAUCCGGAUUUACUGGGUGUAAAGGGAGCGUAGACGGCGAUGCAAGCCAGAUGUGAAAGCCCGGGGCUCAACCCCGGGACUGCAUUUGGAACUGUAUAGCUAGAGUGUCGGAGAGGCAAUCGGAAUUCCGUGUGUAGCGGUGAAAUGCGUAGAUAUACGGAGGAACACCAGUGGCGAAGGCGGAUUGCUGGACAGUAACUGACGCUGAGGCGCGAAAGCGUGGGGAGCAAACAGG
rnacentral:rRNA from 1 species